UGUAGUCGGUCCCAAGGGUUGGGGUGUUCGCCCAUUAAAGCGGUACGCGAGCUGGGUUCUGAACGUCGUGAGACAGUUCGGUCCCUAUCCGUCGUGGGCGUAGGAAAUUUGAGAGGAGCUGUCCUUAGUACGAGAGGACCGGGAUGGACACACCGCUGGUGUACCAGUUGUCUUGCCAAAGGCAUCGCUGGGUAGCUAUGUGUGGACGGGAUAAGUGCUGAAAGCAUCUAAGCAUGAAGCCCCCCUCAAGAUGAGAUUUCCCAUAGCGCAAGCUAGUAAGAUCCCUGAAAGAUGAUCAGGUUGAUAGGUCAGAGGUGGAAGCGUGGCGACAUGUGUAGCUGACUGAUACUAAUCGAUCGAGGACUUAACCAAAUU
rnacentral:rRNA from 2 species